AGGUAAGCUACUAAGAGCGAAUGGUGGAUGCCUUGACUGGUAAAGGCGAUGAAGGACGUACUAGACUGCGAUAAGCUACGGGGAGCUGUCAAGAAGCUUUGAUCCGUAGAUUUCCGAAUGGGGCAACCCAAUGUAUAGAGAUAUACAUUACCUAUAUAGGAGCGAACGAGGGGAAUUGAAACAUCUUAGUACCCUCAGGAAAAGAAAUCAAUAGAGAUUGCGUCAGUAGCGGCGAGCGAAAGCGCAAGAGGGCAAACCCAGUGCUUGCACUGGGGGUUGUAGGACUGCAAUGUGCAAGAGGUGAGUUUAGCAGAACAUUCUGGAAAGUAUAGCCAUAGAGGGUGAUAGUCCCGUAUGCGAAAAACAAACCUUAGCUAGCAGUAUCCUGAGUAGGGCGGGACACGAGAAAUCCUGUCUGAAGCUGGGUCGACCACGAUCCAACCCUAAAUACUAAUACCAGAUCGAUAGUGCACAAGUACCGUGAGGGAAAGGUGAAAAGAACUGAGGUGAUCAGAGUGAAAUAGAACCUGAAACCAUUUGCUUACAAUCAUUCAGAGCCCUAUGUAGCAAUACAGGGUGAUGGACUGCCUUUUGCAUAAUGAGCCUGCGAGUUGUGGUGUCUGGCAAGGUUAAGCAAACGCGAAGCCGUAGCGAAAGCGAGUCUGAAUAGGGCGCUUAGUCAGAUGCUGCAGACCCGAAACGAAGUGAUCUAUCCAUGAGCAAGUUGAAGCUAGUGUAAGAACUAGUGGAGGACUGAACCCAUAGGCGUUGAAAAGCCCCGGGAUGACUUGUGGAUAGGGGUGAAAGGCCAAUCAAACUUCGUGAUAGCUGGUUCUCUCCGAAAUAUAUUUAGGUAUAGCGUUGUGUCGUAAUAUAAGGGGGUAGAGCACUGAAUGGGCUAGGGCAUACACCAAUGUACCAAACCCUAUCAAACUCCGAAUACCUUAUAUGUAAUCACAGCAGUCAGGCGGCGAGUGAUAAAAUCCGUCGUCAAGAGGGAAACAACCCAGACUACCAGCUAAGGUCCCUAAAUCUUACUUAAGUGGAAAACGAUGUGAAGUUACUUAAACAACCAGGAGGUUGGCUUAGAAGCAGCCAUCCUUUAAAGAAAGCGUAAUAGCUCACUGGUCUAGUGAUUUUGCGCGGAAAAUAUAACGGGGCUAAAGUAAGUACCGAAGCUGUAGACUUGCACACAACUUAGAUUAUUUAAGUUUAGAAUAUGAGAAACUAAGUUAUAUGUUUAGUUAUAUUUUUACUGAUUUUUAUAGAGUAAAGAUAGAAAUAAAACUUAGUAAAAUCAGUAAAAAUAUUCUUAGACUAAAGUUAAGUAGUUUAAGUUGUGUGCAAGUGGUAGGAGAGCGUUCUAUUUGCGUCGAAGGUAUACCGGUAAGGAGUGCUGGAGCGAAUAGAAGUGAGCAUGCAGGCAUGAGUAGCGAUAAUUAAUGUGAGAAUCAUUAACGCCGUAAACCCAAGGUUUCCUACGCGAUGCUCGUCAUCGUAGGGUUAGUCGGGUCCUAAGUCGAGUCCGAAAGGGGUAGACGAUGGCAAAUUGGUUAAUAUUCCAAUACCAACAUUAGUGUGCGAUGGAAGGACGCUUAGGGCUAAGGGGGCUAGCGGAUGGAAGUGCUAGUCUAAGGUCGUAGGAGGUUGUACAGGCAAAUCCGUAUAACAAUACUCCGAGAACUGAAAGGCUUUUUGAAGUCUUCGGAUGGAUAGAAGAACCCCUGAUGCCGUCGAGCCAAGAAAAGUUUCUAAGUUUAGCUAAUGUUGCCCGUACCGUAAACCGACACAGGUGGGUGGGAUGAGUAUUCUAAGGCGCGUGGAAGAACUCUCUUUAAGGAACUCUGCAAAAUAGCACCGUAUCUUCGGUAUAAGGUGUGGUUAGCUUUGUAUUAGGAUUUACUCCGAAAGCAAGGAAACUUACAACAAAGAGUCCCUCCCGACUGUUUACCAAAAACACAGCACUCUGCUAACUCGUAAGAGGAUGUAUAGGGUGUGACGCCUGCCCGGUGCUCGAAGGUUAAUUGAUGGGGUUAGCAUUAGCGAAGCUCUUGAUCGAAGCCCGAGUAAACGGCGGCCGUAACUAUAACGGUCCUAAGGUAGCGAAAUUCCUUGUCGGUUAAAUACCGACCUGCAUGAAUGGCGUAACGAGAUGGGAGCUGUCUCAAAGAGGGAUCCAGUGAAAUUGUAGUGGAGGUGAAAAUUCCUCCUACCCGCGGCAAGACGGAAAGACCCCGUGGACCUUUACUACAGCUUGACACUGCUACUUGGAUAAGAAUGUGCAGGAUAGGUGGGAGGCUUUGAGUAUAUGACGCCAGUUGUAUAUGAGCCAUUGUUGAGAUACCACUCUUUCUUAUUUGGGUAGCUAACCAGCUUGAGUUAUCCUCAAGUGGGACAAUGUCUGGUGGGUAGUUUGACUGGGGCGGUCGCCUCCCAAAUAAUAACGGAGGCUUACAAAGGUUGGCUCAGAACGGUUGGAAAUCGUUCGUAGAGUAUAAAGGUAUAAGCCAGCUUAACUGCAAGACAUACAAGUCAAGCAGAGACGAAAGUCGGUCUUAGUGAUCCGGUGGUUCUGUGUGGAAGGGCCAUCGCUCAAAGGAUAAAAGGUACCCCGGGGAUAACAGGCUGAUCUCCCCCAAGAGCUCACAUCGACGGGGAGGUUUGGCACCUCGAUGUCGGCUCAUCGCAUCCUGGGGCUGGAGCAGGUCCCAAGGGUAUGGCUGUUCGCCAUUUAAAGCGGUACGCGAGCUGGGUUCAGAACGUCGUGAGACAGUUCGGUCCCUAUCUGCCGUGGGCGUAAGAAGAUUGAAGAGAUUUGACCCUAGUACGAGAGGACCGGGUUGAACAAACCACUGGUGUAGCUGUUGUUCUGCCAAGAGCAUCGCAGCGUAGCUAAGUUUGGAAAGGAUAAACGCUGAAAGCAUCUAAGCGUGAAGCCAACUCUAAGAUGAAUCUUCUCUAAGCUCUCUAGAAGACUACUAGUUUGAUAGGCUGGGUGUGUAAUGGAUGAAAGUCCUUUAGCUGACCAGUACUAAUAGAGCGUUUGGCUUAUCUUU
rnacentral:rRNA from 1 species